rnacentral:lncRNA from 1 species
GGGGAAUUGUAGUAGUAUGGGGGAGGAGAUGAGUGAUGUGGUGGUGGUGGCGGAGGUGAGCUGUAAUAGUAUGGUGGGGGAGAAGAAUGGUGAGGUGGUGGUGGAGGUGAGUAAUGUGGCGGUGGUGGAGGUGAGGGGCACGGCGGUGGGGGAGGGCGAGUGCAAUAAAUUGGAGCUGGUGGUGGUGGAGAUGAAUAUACUGGCGGUGGCGGUGGCGAAGAGUAAACUGGUGGAGGCGGUGGUGGUGGUGGUGGUGGUGGAGGGGGAGAAUAAACUGGUGGAGGUGGAGGCGGUGGUGGUGGUGGUGGCGGUGGAGAGUAGACAGGUGGAGGUGGUGGCGGCGGUGAUGGUGGAGGGGGAGAGUAUACAGGUGGAGGUGGUGGUGGUGGAGGUGGAGGGGGAGAAUAAACAGGUGGAGGUGGAGGCGGUGGUGGUGGUGGGGGAGAGUAGACGGGUGGUGGUGGAGGAGGAGGAGGUGGUGGUGGUGGAGGGGAAUAGACAGGGGGAGGCGGAGGAGGGGAAUAGACGGGUGAUGGUGGAGGUGGCGAUGGUGGAGGCGGCGGAGGCAAUUGAGGUACAAUCGGAGGAAGGGGUGUAACAG